GCCCCACCAGCCCCACCCCACCCCAAGAUCCAGACACACAGCAGAUGUGGCCAGCACAUGAGCUCACAGCUGCACUUUCACACACAGUUGCUGAGCAGUCCAACUCCGAGACCCAGGCCAGACCAGGGAGCAGGGAGGGAGCCCUGACCCUUGGUAGGCAGCAGCAGUGUAGAAGAAAGAAAGAAGCAAGACGGAUUUGAGGCAGAGUGUAUUGAGAACAGGACAGAAAACAAAGUCGGGGGAAGAGCUCAGCCUGGCGGCAGGAGCUGCAGGAUAGAAGUGGCUUUUCCACACUGGCCCCCUCCUGGGGCCCAAGAGAGCAGGAGGCAGGAGGGACCUGGCAUGAGGUGCUGAGCUCCCUCACAGCUGCCCCCCACACCCCUCAUUUUGAUGUGUAGAAUGAGCUCACUGAGCAAGCACCCCUGUUCCCAUGGAGACGAGCCCAGAGCUCAUAAAAGCUGCAGGCACAGCCCAGCAUGGGCACCGCCUCCACCACCCUUCUCUCCUCUGAGGAGCCCAGAAAUAGGGCUGGAAAGAGGAAGUGGGUGGCCCUCAGCCCCCGGUCUUGGGAAGCUUCCAUCCAAAUCCUGACUCUUGUGUCUAUAUUCUCACACCCCACAGAUCCUUGUUUUGGGGCCUGCAUCACAUCAGAGGGGCUGGAGGGGCUGAGGAUCUCAGGUUACCUCAUUCAACAUCCUCGCUCCUCUGGAUGGGGAAACUAAGACCCAAAGAUAGGCAUGCAGUCAGUCUUUCUGAAUCUAGGUCUCAGUCCCAGACUUAGACUUUAGUCUUCUGUAUGCCUCCCCUCAAAGCUGCCGUGCACCUGCCCUGACACUCAUGUUCCCCUGACUAACUCCAAAAAAUCCCAAGUGGCGCCAUCCCCACCCAAGCUUCUGAUCCUUCAGCCUCCUGCAGCAGCUCAUUCCAACCACACCCACCAGGUCCCUCACAGACAACUCACUCUGACCUGCAUGGACAUUGUUUUCCAUUCUUCCCAGGGGACAAUCUUUCCACCUACAAUGCUUUUCUUCCAAAGUACCAGCCUAUCUUUUCAGACUUCCAGAUCAUCUCCACUCGAAGAGCCUUUUGUAUAGAUGAGAGAAUGGCCCCAGAGAGGAAAAGUGGCCAGACUCACCCAGCACAGGGAAAGCAGAGGGCCCCAGAACCUCCCCUCCUUCUCCCUCCCUCUCUCCCUGGGGCAUUUUCCCUACUGCACUGAGAUGGCUCCUUUCAGUCAGGGAGCUCUUGGCUGAGGUUAACUCAGAGCAUCUCACAGAUACCUCACUAAGGGGCUGCUUUCCUACCACCCCCACUCCCCCCACAGCCCUCCUCAGGGUUCUCCUUCUCUCAGGGAUCCUGGGAUGCCCCCACCCCGAAACAGUGAGGGCAAGCUAGGUAGAAGCAGGGCUGGGUGGGGCCAGGAGUUACUGAGGUGCAGCUGGGUCCUGAGAGGGUGUAGAGGAGGGGUAGGAAGCAAAGAAUCAGCAGCGUAGGCUGAGUCCGAAUCCACAGAACCCAGGAGAGGAGGAAAAGUGGAGGCAGGUGAAGCUCUCUGAAGCAGCAGAGAAGAAUCGGUGUCCAGGAGGCAGAGGGGAAGAGACAGGCCCACGGAGAUGCGAAUCCAGCAACAGAAGGCCCUGUGCUGCUUCCUGCCCGGUCUGCUCUUCCCGGCCUUUGGAGAAGGGGCGUGGACCGGCAGUGGGACCCCGUGGGAAGACUGUUACUUGAAGCAGAAGGAAGGCUUCCACACCUGAGCCUCGAUUCCUGCGUUCCGGGUGGAGAACGAGGGCCUGGGGGCCUGCUUGGCUCGGGGAGACCACGCCCUGGAGGGAGACACGGGGGAGACAUCACUGCUGUAGGUGGGGCUCACAGCCGUGGGCUGCAGGCCGUCCUGGCCAGAGGAAGCGCAGAGGCCCGAGCGAGGGAGCGGCAGGGCCGGCGCAGAGCCGGAGACAGCGGGAGCCCGGCUUUGGGAAGGCUGGGCACCAGGUCCAGGGAGCUCGGCUUGGCAGGGGAGGCAGCUCGUGGGGAGGCAGCUCGGGCCGAGGCCGCUCUGGAUGAGGCCGCUCGUGGCGCUCGGGCUGAGGCCUUGCUGGGCUCCUUGAUGGGCGAGAGGACAAAGAGCGAAGGCCGCAUCUGGUAGGGCGGCUGCUUGGUGGGCUCUGGGCGCAGGAUGCCGUUCUCAGGCAGGUAGCCGUGGUAGAGGGAGGCCGGCGGGGUCCGCGCGGGGCUCAGGGACGCCACUCGGAAGGCCCCAGGGGCACUGGUGGAGUAUUUCCAGGAGGAAGGCAGGGACAUGGUGGGCGAAGGGCAGCGGGCCAGCUCAGCGUGCCCCAAGACUCGAUGACGUACUUCUCCAUCCGCGACUGGCGGCGCGCGUAGAGCUCCGCGCCCUUCCCAGAGGCCUCCGAGAGGUUCUGGUUGGGUUUGGGCUUCGGCUUGGCUUGGAUGCGGAGGCGACUUGAGGCAGGAGGCCCACCAGGGACAGCCUCCUCGGCCGCGCCGCGGGACUGGCUCUCUCCCGAGAGCCCGGCUCCUGCUGGAAGUUGGAAGCCUCAGCCCCAAGCGCAAGGGCUCCUCCUCUGCACCCGUGUCCCCCCUGGUCCCUCUGCCUCCGCUUCCGUCGGCCGUCUGGACCAGAUCCAGCAGGUCUGGGUUCGGGGUCACCUUGGGCUUCUCCACGAAAGUGAACAUGGAUUUCCGGCUGCCCCGGCGGGCCAUGGACUCCUCUAAAAUGCCCGUCUUGCUGGUGGGAACUGCCUGGCCCUUCAGAUGGGAAGGCUUGGUGUCAGAGCUAGGGUACAGGGCAGAAUAAGAAGGGGGGAGACCGCACCCGGGGAAGCUGGGGGCGCUGUGGACAGGGUCUCCGCGUAGGUGGGAGGAGGGGUGAAGUUCCCCAAGGGCCGUCUCUCAGGGCCGGGGCUUCGCUGCCCCACCAGCCUCCUCUCCACCAUGGGGCUGUAGGACAUGACAUGUCUCUGAGGCCGGGGACUCCUGUCUACCACGCUGGGGGGCUGGGGAGCCGGGCUUUCUCCCCAAGAUGUCGCCUCUGCACCAUGGGACUCUGCUCCAUCUGGCUGGUGCCCCCUAGUGCCCUGGAUCCCAAAGGGCCUGGCCGUCCUGUUGACCACUGAUAGAGGCUUGGCCAGUGUGAGGUGGACCUCACUGUACACCUUGGUGGGUGUGGUGGCAGGUGCCCCGCCCAGACAUCUCAGGCUCUGCUGACAUCACUAGGGUGCUGGGCUUGAUGUUGAUGAGCAGGGAGCUGGACAUGAAGUCUGGACCUGGAGGCUCAGAGCUGGGGAUGGGAGUAGCUUCUCUAUAGAAGGUGCUGGUAGUAGUCGGUGGAGUAGAUACCUUAUCAAUUAGGAGUACACUGGAUAUCACCUCCUCCACCGGCGCCUGGGGUGGCCCAUCAGCACAUGGGGCGCUGGUUUUGGACUCAGGUGUUGUGCCAUUUGUUAUGUUCUGUGCAGCAGGAGAAUUCUGCUGGACCCCAGAAAGCGAAGGGCUCUGUGGGAUGACAGUUACUGGAGGGUUCUGAUUGAUGUCUGUGGCCAGCAGGUUGCAGUUGCUGUUAGAAGCUGGUGUGGUGAUCGUGGUGCUGGGUGAGGACAGGUUCUGGUUGACAUCUGCAGCUGGACUGUGGACCUCAGCUGGAGGAGGAGUUGGUGGGGACUCCUGGGCCUCCCGGUUCUGGGACAGGUGAAGCCCAUUGGCUGUCAGCAGGGCUGCGUUCUCCUUCAAAUAUACCACCAGUGGCACCUCUUCCUCCUCACUGGCCACCUUCUCCAGGUGCCGCAGCAAGCUGGCCUCCUCUGAGUGCCCCUCCAUGCUGUGGCUAGGGACCCCUCUGCUGGGGAUCUGGGGGCUGGGGUGCCUUGGAAGGCCUGGCUUGGAUGGUGAAGGUGAACUCAGGGGGAACCAUGGAGCAUGGCCGGGGGGGGCACAGGGAGCACCCUGAGGGUCUCCUGGCAGGGCUUCGGUCUCCUUUGGCCUUGGCUCUCCCAAGUGAAUUCAUUCACCCUCUGGCGGCGCCUGUUGAAGAGCUGGACGCCCCGGGAGCUGGAGCUGGGGGGAGUGGUCAGCUGGGCUGCGAUCUGCUGGCUCCGAGCCUUGGCCUCCUUCAGGUCCUUCUCGGUGAGGCUGGUGCUCCGGCCCAAGGCUG
rnacentral:lncRNA from 1 species